rnacentral:lncRNA from 1 species
GCUCAUCCAGACUUAAGGCAGGUGUCUACCACAUCCAUUGUUGUGCUGACCGUUGAAUGUCUGGAAUAAUAAAGAUGGUUCUUCGUUGCCCGGUAGUUCAUUUGGUAACUAUUUGAGCUACAUCAGAACCUCACAUUUUUAUCUGUGACCUUGCUCUCUGUCUAGACUAUUUCCCACUUUUUUAUGAGAUAUAAAAUACACUACUAUGUUUUCAUGAAACAACUAUGUUUUACUGUGAAAAUCACCAUUAGUGUCUUACUGGAACGCCAUGACAUGCUUGUUGCUGCACUUUUAGUAUGGGUUUAUAUCCCAACACAUUAUCAGUUGAUUUAUGUUCAUUGCUAGGUUUUGCCAUGGUAAUCAGGACAUUUGUGUUGAUAGCUUUCCGAUGUCAAUAAUAGGUAGUUACAUGGCUUUCCCAGGCUUAAGGCAGGUGUCUGCCAUAGUCAUUUGUUGUGCUGAACGUUGAAUGUGUGGACUAGAAAAGAGUGGUUCUUUGUUGCCCGGUAGUUCAUUUGAUUGCUACUCCAGCUAUAUCAGAACCUCAUAUUUUAACUUGAGACCUUUGUUUGUUUGGAUAUUCUUUUCUCCCUUUUUGUUAAGGCUCGCGACAAAUAUACGAUUUAUUUUCAAGAUAACCCAGGACUUUCAAUCGUAGAUUAGUUCAUUUUAUUGCUUGGAACUCGCCAUAAGUUUCUUUCCAGGUUCCUAUGGUAAUCGACUAAUCGAGAUAAUUGUUUUGAUAGCUUACCAAGGUCGGCACAAUAGCUAUUUACAUUGCUUAUCGAGACUUAAGGCAGGUUUUUAACAGUCAUUGUUGUGCUGACUGAUGAAUGUCUGUAAUACUAGUAAAUAGUCGUUCUUUGUUGCCCGAUAGUUAAGUUGGUCACAAUAUGAGCUACUUUGUAUUUUAUUGCUUGAAACUCACCAUAAUUUUCUUACUGAAAGAUACUUUUUGUAAAAUACACAGUUCAGUAAUAAUUAAUAUCAAUUGCCAGGUUGAUUCCUUGCUACUUUGUAUCACUGUUAUGGAUAAGUUAGACUGAUCUUGUCGUAAUAAAUGACUCUGCUGGUUAAGAUAAUCUGUUAACAAUCAUAUAAUUGGCUUAGUGAAUUCACUUUAUCUGUGUUAAUCUCUAUGAACUUUUGUUUGCUGGGAACAUUUUCAUCUGAAAUGAUGUUGUGGACGAUUACUUCUUUGCUAGAAACAAUUGUUCCUCGUGUUUCAGUUCAUCAUUGUUGCAGACUUUCAGAAACUCAUUGAUGCUGCUGGAGUGCCGGUGUUUCCCUUUUUUCAUAUUUUUAAGAUAAGAUAGAAAUGCCCCAUCAAUGUUGAAUUGUUGCAAGGCCUUUUGAUUAUAUGGUGCAAUUGUGCUUUUCAUAUCACAAGGCUUAAGUACUGUUUGACCAUAUACUAGAUACUUAUUUGUUGAAGCAAUGUACUGUUUGUGGUAUUCCAAAUAAUUGUUGAAUAAUAAUGUGUUUUAUUCCUUGUCCAGUGGGAACUUUGUCCUUAUGACUAGCAGAACAUAGGUCAUAUUCAGUGCAAGUCCAAGAAAUAAUUAAAUGACUUGGAUUUGAUGCACGGUUUUCUCCCAGUCAAGUGUAGAAAUGCCCUGAAAAUUACCAAUUUCUUUGUUUGGAAAUAGGAUAUUUGGUUUGGUGCAAAAUUCCUACAAUAAAGUUGUUCAUGUCUGAAAGGGAAAGACAAUAGUAGUGAUGCAGAUGACAAAGACAAUAGUACAUUAUGGUAAAAUGAGUAACAAAAAAUAGUAUAGACCACUAACAAAGGGUUAAGGCUGACAACUUUAGGAUGGCAGGAGCUGAUCAAGAAAUGUACAUUGGUAUAAUCUACUUUCAGAAGUUAGCUUACAGAGUGAACACUGUUUCUCACUAUACAAUUGGGUUCGGAGGGGACCUUUUUCCUACCUUGAGAAGGGAGACAUAGACAGACUAGUUUCAUAGACUAUUGGUUCAAGUACAAAAAUCAAUUAUGUAAAGCAAUCAAUGGAGAAGAAUCUAAUGGACAGCUCGGUGUACUAAAGCUCUCGCUAUAUGCCGGAUUCGGGGAAGGGUUUCAUUACAAGAGUGUAUUGUAUGUAAACUUCUGGUGAAGGAUGGAAUAGUUCCACCACUACACCACAACUCAUGUUAAGAGAAAAUAUUGAACAUAAUGGAUGCGAGAAAAUCGCAACAACAAAUAAUAUGAUGAUGGUAACUAAUCCUCGACCACUAGAUCUUACAUCUCGGGCUAUGUCGUGGUGAUUUUUGGAGCGUAACCAAACCAAGAAAUUCAUAUGAAUGUGAGUUCUGAUACGAUGUUAAAAGAAAAGGAUCUCGAGCUAAUUCAAAUCUAAAAGCUAGUAAAAAUUGUCUAAAGACUAAUAGAACCCUUUGAAAUAUCUGAGAAUAAUAGAACUUGACCUAAAUAUCUACACAUUCUAGAAUGCCAAUCUUUUUGGAAACAUUUCUUUGGCUAUCAUCAAAAAGGCAUGAAACUUCAAAUGCACUAAUAAUAAUAAUAAUUUAUGGAGGCAACUUACUCCAAAUUCAAUUUUGGUAGCCGUACCAUGGUCCACCAAGUACCAAAAGCAAAUAAAAAAGAAAGCUCAAACGUAAAGAAAAAUUAUAUUUAACCAGGCUGGAAUUAGUAUAAGUUGGUCCAACAGAAAGUGAUUGAAACUGAUGUAUCAUCUAUGAAAUAAAUACUCAAGAUUCUGUCUCAACCAAAUGGACAUCUUCAUUUGUUUGUAAUAGGCAAAAUAACCAAAGUUUAGAAAAUGUGAAUUUUACAAAAAUUAAAGACCCUUUAAAGCCCACCAUGAAAUUGGAUUAAUCUUUAUCAAUUUAACAACUCACCAACCAACAUGCUUCCUACCAACUUGUAAGAAAAAUAAAAUUGCUUGAUUGACAUUACUUAAUCAGCCAGACACUAGCACAUGUUGUUAGAAGCCAAUUUCUUGAAAAUCAUUAGUUCAUUGAUUUAGAUUUUGUACUAAAAAUUGAGCAAUCUUGAAAUUUAUGCUAGUGGCACCCUUCAUUAUGUCAUUUGUGACUUACGAGGAUAGAUGAUAUAUGAAA